rnacentral:misc_RNA from 1 species
GGAAUAUUGCACAAUGGGCGCAAGCCUGAUGCAGCCAUGCCGCGUGUAUGAAGAAGGCCUUCGGGUUGUAAAGUACUUUCAGCGGGGAGGAAGGUGUUGUGGUUAAUAACCGCAGCAAUUGACGUUACCCGCAGAAGAAGCACCGGCUAACUCCGUGCCAGCAGCCGCGGUAAUACGGAGGGUGCAAGCGUUAAUCGGAAUUACUGGGCGUAAAGCGCACGCAGGCGGUCUGUCAAGUCGGAUGUGAAAUCCCCGGGCUCAACCUGGGAACUGCAUUCGAAACUGGCAGGCUGGAGUCUUGUAGAGGGGGGUAGAAUUCCAGGUGUAGCGGUGAAAUGCGUAGAGAUCUGGAGGAAUACCGGUGGCGAAGGCGGCCCCCUGGACAAAGACUGACGCUCAGGUGCGAAAGCGUGGGGAGCAAACAGGA